rnacentral:rRNA from 1 species
GACGAACCGUGCGAACGUUAUUCGGAAUCACUGGGCUUAAAGCGCGUGUAGGCGGGACGGCACGUCGGUCGCUGAAAGCCCCCGGCUCAACCGGGGAACGGGCGCCGAUACGACCGUCCUGGAGGGACGUAGGGGGACCUGGAACUUCCGGUGGAGCGGUGAAAUGCGUUGAGAUCGGAAGGAACGCCCGUGGCGAAAGCGAGGUCCUGGACGUUUUCUGACGCUGAGACGCGAAAGCCAGGGGAGCGAACGGG